AGGGUUUGAUCAUGGCUCACAACGAACGCUGGCGGCAGGCUUAACACAUGCAAGUCGAACGCACUCUUCGGAGUGAGUGGCAGACGGGUGAGUAACGCGUGGGAACCUACCCUUUUCUACGGAAUAACGCAGGGAAACUUGUGCUAAUACCGUAUACGCCCUUCGGGGGAAAAAUUUAUCGGGGAAGGAUGGGCCCGCGUUGGAUUAGCUAGUUGGUGGGGUAAUGGCCUACCAAGGCGACGAUCCAUAGCUGGUCUGAGAGGAUGAUCAGCCACAUUGGGACUGAGACACGGCCCAAACUCCUACGGGAGGCAGCAGUGGGGAAUAUUGGACAAUGGGCGCAAGCCUGAUCCAGCCAUGCCGCGUGAGUGAUGAAGGCCCUAGGGUUGUAAAGCUCUUUCAACGGUGAAGAUAAUGACGGUAACCGUAGAAGAAGCCCCGGCUAACUUCGUGCCAGCAGCCGCGGUAAUACGAAGGGGGCUAGCGUUGUUCGGAAUUACUGGGCGUAAAGCGCACGUAGGCGGAUAUUUAAGUCAGGGGUGAAAUCCCAGAGCUCAACUCUGGAACUGCCUUUGAUACUGGGUAUCUUGAGUAUGGAAGAGGUGAGUGGAAUUCCGAGUGUAGAGGUGAAAUUCGUAGAUAUUCGGAGGAACACCAGUGGCGAAGGCGGCUCACUGGUCCAUUACUGACGCUGAGGUGCGAAAGCGUGGGGAGCAAACAGGAUUAGAUACCCUGCUAGUCCACGCCGUAAACGAUGAAUGUUAGCCGUCGGGCAGUAUACUGUUCGGUGGCGCAGCUAACGCAUUAAACAUUCCGCCUGGGGGAGUACGGUCGCAAGAUUAAAACUCAUAGGAAUUGACGGGGCCCGCACAAGCGGUGGAAGCAUG
rnacentral:rRNA from 1 species